rnacentral:rRNA from 1 species
GAGUUUGAUCAUGGCUCAGAAUGAACGUUGGCGGCGUGGAUUAGGCAUGCAAGUCGCGCGAUAAAUUGCCUUCGGGUGAUGGAAAGCGGCGAAAGGGAGAGUAACACGCGGGUACCUACCCUCAGGACCGGGAUAGCUGCGGGAAACUGCAAUUAAUACCGGAUGAUGUCUCCGGACCAAAGGUGUGAUUCCGCCGGAGGAGGGGCCCACGUCCUAUCAGCUAGUUGGCGAGGUAAUAGCUCACCAAGGCGACGACGGGUACGGGGUGUGAGAGCAUGCCCCCGCUCACUGGGACUGAGACACUGCCCAGACACCUACGGGUGGCUGCAGUCGAGAAUCUUCCGCAAUGGGCGAAAGCCUGACGGAGCGACGCCGCGUGCGGGAUGAAGGCCUUCGGGUUGUAAACCGCUGUCAGUGGGGAGGAAAUGCAUGGGGGUUCUCCCUCGUGUUUGACCGAUCCGCAGAGGAAGCACAGGCUAAGUUCGUGCCAGCAGCCGCGGUAACACGAAUUGUGCAAACGUUAUUCGGAAUCACUGGGCUUAAAGAGUUCGUAGGCGGCGCGUUAAGUCGGGUGUGAAAUCCCUCGGCUCAACCGAGGAAUUGCGCCCGAAACUGGCGUGCUUGAGUGAGAUAGAGGUGAGCGGAACUGAUGGUGGAGCGGUGAAAUGCGUUG